rnacentral:rRNA from 1 species
UGGGGAAUAUUGGACAAUGGGGGCAACCCUGAUCCAGCUAUGCCGCGUGAGUGAUGAAGGCCUUCGGGUUGUAAAGCUCUUUAGCUAGGGAAAAUAAUGAUUGUACCUAGAGAAUAAGCCCCGGCAAACUCUGUGCCAGCAGCCGUGGUAAUACAGAGGGGGCUAGCGUUGUUCGGAAUUACUGGGCGUAAAGGGUGCGUAGGCGGCCUACCAGGUCAGGUGUGAAAUCCCGGGGCUUAACCUCGGAAUUGCACUUGAAACUAGUAGGCUUGAGGACGAGAGAGGAUAGUGGAAUUCCUAGUGUAGGAGUGAAAUCCGUAGAUAUUAGGAGGAACACCAGUGGCGAAGGCGGCUAUCUGGCUCGUAUCUGACGCUGAGGCACGAAAGCGUGGGGAUCAAACAGG